CAUAUUGGACAAUGGGGGCAACCUUGAUCCAGCAAUGCCGCCAGGGUGAAGAAGGCAUGCGGGUCGUAAAGCACUUUCAGUAGAGAAGAAAAGCCUACGGUUAAUAACCGUGAGUCUUACGUUACUUACAGAAGAAGCUCCAUCUAACUCCGUGCCAGCAGCCGCGGUAAUACGGAGGGAGCGACCGUUAUUCUCAAUUACUGGGGGUAAAGCGGGGGUAGGCGGCUUUUUAAGUAGGAUGUGAAAGCCUUGGGCUCAUCCUGGGAAUGGCAUUUGAUAAUGCAGAAGUAGAGUAUGGUAGAGGGAACUGGAAUUUCCGGUGUAGCGGUGAAAUGAGUAGAUAUCGGAAGGAACACCGGUGGUGAAGGAGACUUCUUGGCCCAAUACUGACGAUGAGGCGGCAAAGCGUGGGUAGCAAACAGCAUUAGAUACCCCGGUAGUCCUCCCCGCA
rnacentral:rRNA from 1 species